AUGGUCGCAAGUCUGAAACUUAAAGAAUUGACGGAAGGGCACACCAGGAGUGGAGCCUGCGGCUUAAUUUGACCCAACACGGGAAAACUUACCAGGUCCAGACAUGUGAAGGAUUGACAGAUUAAUAGCUCUUUCUUGAUUAUAUGGGUGGUGGUGCAUGGCCGUUCUUAGUUGGUGGAGUGAUUUGUCUGGUUAAUUCCGUUAAACGAACGAGACCUCAACCUAUUAAAUAGAUAAAAUAAAAUGAUUAAAAUUGAGUGGAAGAGGGUUGUGAUGAUAUUUAAGAUUGAUUUAGAAAUAAUUAAUAUUAAAUAUCCAUAACGUUUGAAUACUUUUAUUUUAUUUAGGGAAAAAUUAAAAUUAAAACUUUAAUUUUUUCAUUUUUUUAAACUUCUUAAAAGGGGACUAUUUUGUAUAAAAUAAGAAAUUAUUUUAUCUUUUGCGGAAAGCAAAUUGGAAGUUUGAGGCAAUAACAGGUCUGUGAUGCCCUUAGAUGUUCUGGGC
rnacentral:rRNA from 1 species